rnacentral:rRNA from 1 species
UACGGAGGGUGCGAGCGUUAAUCGGAAUUACUGGGCGUAAAGCGUACGUAGGCGGUUGGGUAAGUCGGAUGUGAAAGCCCUGGGCUUAACCUGGGAACUGCAUUCGAUACUGCUCGGCUAGAGUAUGGGAGAGGGAAGCGGAAUUUCCGGUGUAGCGGUGAAAUGCGUAGAUAUCGGAAGGAACACCAAUGGCGAAGGCAGCUUCCUGGCCCAAUACUGACGCUCAGGUGCGAAAGCGUGGGGAUCAAACAGG